GGACGAAACUCUGGAGAGACUCUAUUUAGAGCACCGAAGGAGAAAGUUGGGAUAUUGUUAUUCCAAUGAAACUCUCAGGUAAAAGGACAGAGAAUAGAAC
rnacentral:ncRNA from 2 species